AACGAACGCUGGCGGCAUGCCUAACACAUGCAAGUCGAACGCUCCGCAAGGGGAGUGGCGCACGGGUGAGCAACACGUGGGAACCUGCCUAUUGGUUCGGAACAACGUUUGGAAACGAACGCUAAUACCGGAUAUCCCCCGAGGGGGAAAGAUUUAUCGCCAAUAGAGGGGCCCGCGUCCGAUUAGGUAGUUGGUGGGGUAAAGGCCUACCAAGCCGACGAUCGGUAGCUGGUCUGAGAGGAUGAUCAGCCACACUGGGACUGAGACACGGCCCAGACUCCUACGGGAGGCAGCAGUGGGGAAUAUUGGACAAUGGGCGGAAGCCUGAUCCAGCAAUGCCGCGUGAGUGAUGAAGGCCUUAGGGUUGUAAAGCUCUUUCGCACGUGACGAUGAUGACGGUAACGUGAGAAGAAGCCCCGGCUAACUUCGUGCCAGCAGCCGCCGUAA
rnacentral:rRNA from 1 species